UGAAUUCACCAUUUGAUCUUGAUGUGGUGUGAAGCUUUGUUUAAGGAUAUUACCCAUGCAUGUUUAAAAUAGUUCCUCUUGURGGGGCGAUUUGCGUAGAGCUCAUUAAAACAUCUGUAACAUACAGCGUAGUGGAAUUUUACAAGGAUACUCCAGGUAACUCCACGCCUAAUACUUGCGCAAACAUCGACUUAAUGGAAGGUGGCAUUUAUUAGUUUGAAACCAAUUGUGGUGGGGUUCACCCCCCAUCACGUGAUUGACUUCUAAUAACUCAGUGAAUCUCUUAGUUAAACUACAGAGAUGAACGCUAUUGACAGAUGAUGUAUUAGUUUGUAAGUUGUGUAUUGGACAACUUAGACGAUAAUGCUAACGGGGAUCUAGAGAUUGAUACCGGAGAAAGAGCCUGAGAGACAGCUCUUAUUUCUAAGGAAAGCAGCAGGGGCGAAAAUUGUACCAUGCGCAAUUGCGCGAUACAGUGACAAUCUGUAAUUGUUUUGGCCGGGUUAAACUGGUUAAAAAUAGUUAAUAAAAUAUCUAUCCAAACUCAUUUUGGGAAAAAGAUGGCCAUAGCUUUGCCAGCAGCAGCGGUAAUAAUGCAUCUUUGAGUUUGACAUCCAAUUAUUGCGAUUAAAACGUUCGUAGUUGGUGGUUUUGUUUGUUGUUUCUGUGGCACGCUCUGCGUGCUUUGACUUGUGCUGGGGUUUUUCCCCGGUUUCAAGCGCAGGAAUUGUUUAACAAGCAAUAUAGGGCAGUGCGUUGCUUUUACGAGUUAAUGACGCUGCCCUUUUACCAUGAGAAAAAGAGUACGCUAAAAGUGGGCUCUUCAAUGCUUGAAUCAUUCAGCAUGGAAUAAACACAACAGGCUCACAUCGUGCGCGGGGUUGAUCGUUCACGCGGUUCGCUCCCACACGGUGGGUUGGCCCCGGGUCACACCGGGACCAAUUUCGGUCCUCGUUUGUAAGUUGGUUCUUCACGACCAAGUCAUGAUCGAUAGGGGUGGUUGAGGAGGUGUAUGUAUGCGAGGGAGAGAGGUGAAAUUUGAUGACCCUUCUGCAGACAAACAAAAGCGUAAGCAUUCACCAAUUACAUUCCUUUUAAUCAAGAACGAAAGUUAGAGUAUCAAAGGCCAUUAGAUGCAGCUGUAGUUUUAACCAUAAACGAUGACAUCUCAGGAUAUCAUUGAUGAUCUUUUCGUGGUGAGUGGGUACUCGUAUUCACUCAUCCACUGCUAAUAAAGAUCCUGUUCAUUGAGUUCAUCGCAGGGUAACCUGCGAACUCGUUUUAGACCAAUGAUGCACUGUGUGAGAAAUCAACAGCUGUCUUCGUGGAGUGUAUGGUUGCAAAGCUGAAAUUUAAAAGAAUUGACGGAAGUAUCACCACCAGGAGUGGAUCGUGCGGCUUAAUUUGACUCAACGCGGGAAAUCGUACCAGGGCAGGACACCAUGAGGAUUGACAUGUGGGGGGAGUACCCCCAUUUUGACUGCAGCUCUUUCAAGAUUUUGUGCGUAUAAAUGUAGUGCAUGGCCUUUGGGAAGUGAGUGGAUUGAUUUUUCUCAUUAAUUUGGAUAACUAUCGAGACCAACAUACUGAGUGGGGGUUCGUGGGUAAAACCGCAGCUCUCACAUAUUGUAAAUACAGCAUGACAAAUUUCAUUUGCCAGAGAGGGUUUGAUAAAAACCUUGCUGUUCUUAGGUAGACUACUGAUGUUCUAGUCAGGGGAAGCUGUUGGCGAUAAAAGGUCCGUGAUGCUCUCAGAUGUUCUGGGCCGCUCGCGCGCUACAAUGAUGGAAUAAAAAAGUUUAUUGUGUAGUUCGAUUUGGGCUGUGAGCAAUUGCAGUUCUCGAACUCGCCCCUGACCCGAGAGGGUUGGGAAAUCUUUGAACCUCCAAUCGUGCUGGGGAUUGACGUUUGCAAUUAUUCGUCAUGAACGAGGAAUUCCUAGUAAACGCCUGUCACUAACAGGCAUUGAAUACGUUUCUGGUCUUUGUACACACCGCCCGUCGCUGUUACCGAUUGAAUGGUUCAAUGAGUAGUAAGGAGUUUGGGGGGGUUUCGGCCCCCACGUUCGAAUUACCUCAAAUUGUAUCAUUUAGAGGAAGCAAAAGUCGUAACAAGGUAUCGGUAGGUGAACCUGCAGAAAAGGAUCA
rnacentral:rRNA from 1 species